UCCCGGCUAGCUCAGUCGGUAGAGCGUCAGACUCUUAACAAGAGCCUCCGAGAUUCCCUCGGAACAUAUCUGAAUGUCGAGGGUUCGAGCCCCUCGUUGGGAG